CCUCCUCAGACAUAAUUUGACUUUCACUAUCUGAGAGCUGAUUCAAAACCUUGAGAGAAAGUCCUUUCUGUUUCCUUGGUUACUGAAUUACAUGAAUAAAUUCUACAACAAUGGUUAGUGGUCAUUAUUGGCUAGUCACCUUGGAAUGUUCCCAGAGGAAGGUGAAAGCAGGUGCCAUGCCAUGGAGUAAGUGGACAGCAGUCCCAGUGCAGAGCCCACAGAAAUGGAUGGAAGGAUUCCUAUUGACUGCAGUGAUCUUUGAAUUGGAUCUUCCAUAGCAGCUGGUUUAGUUCGGUACUUCGCAAGGAGUUCAAGAUAAACCAGAAAAAGCCAUACUUAAACUAGAAUAUGUACUCAUAUGGAUAUGAAAUGAUAAAGGGAUUAAGUGAUUUGCCAGAAGUCACACACAAAAACUGGCAAACCCCAAGAUGGAAUGCGGGUCUCCUAAAUUCCAGCCCUGUACUUUAGCUACAAGAUUAUUCUUCUUUCCUUUUGCAAUCAUCUGGUGAGAGAAACUUCUGAAAAGUGGCAAAGACUGUCUCCACAAUAAAGACUUAAUAGGACACCUAUGGAGGGAAAAC